UACGUAGGGUGCGAGCGUUGUCCGGAAUUAUUGGGCGUAAAGAGCUUGUAGGCGGUUUGUCGCGUCUGCUGUGAAAUUUCGGGGCUCAACCCCGAACUUGCAGUGGGUACGGGCAGACUAGAGUGUGGUAGGGGAGACUGGAAUUCCUGGUGUAGCGGUGAAAUGCGCAGAUAUCAGGAGGAACACCGAUGGCGAAGGCAGGUCUCUGGGCCAUAACUGACGCUGAGAAGCGAAAGCGUGGGGAGCGAACAGG
rnacentral:rRNA from 1 species